CUAGACCUUUUACUAUUCAUUAGUUUCAAUAAGGUCCCCCCUCACCGUUCCAAACUCCAGUAAAUGAAGGGUCUUGAC